CUCCAUGUGUCCCUCAAGAACUGGUGUCCUCUUUCGACUGUGACAUGAGAGUGGCUUCCCUCACCUGGGAAGCAAGUGAAAAUGCUGAGAUGUACCUGGUGUCUGCAGAAUCUGAUAGCGGUCACCGGGUGGAACUCUCAACAAAUGCCACAAGUGCACAAUUCUCUGAGUUCAACUGUGGUCAGCCGUACUAUCUGACUGUGCAAGCUGUGGGAAAUGUAUGUAGAAGCCACCCCAGUAAUGCUUCAGUAUUGCAGACAGGUUAGGACCCUCUCUCUAAAACACAAAGAUAUGAUGUCAAAAGAAGUGCAUAACUCAAAAGGACUUUCAAAAGGACAGCACAGGCUUGGCAUAACACUGUCCCACUUGUUGAAUGACUUGGAUUAUGUAAUUCUGUCUUCUUGCAGAGCCCUGUACUCCAGCAGCUGUCGUUGGCUUUAUGGACUGCAUCUCCAACAUUGCUACUGUAUCCUGGGUGUUAGCUGAAGGUGCAGAAUACUACACAGCGACAGUUCAUGGCCCAGAUGGGCCUUCGGAAACAUGCAUGUCCUCAUCAUCGAGCUGUGGCAUGCCCAAACUGUCCUGCGGUGAAACAUACAAUGUUAGCGUGAUUGCCUCCAGUCGCAAGUGUAACUCAACACCCAGUGCGCUGAGCUCUCUUAACUCAGUGCCCUGUGUUCCUAAAGAUGUGUCUGUGGUGCUGGACUGUGACACUGCUGAGGCACAUGUGUCUUGGAAUGCAAGCAUUGGGGCGUUGAAAUAUGUUGCUUAUGCCUGGAGCAGAACAUUCAACUUCAUGUCCUGCGAGACCUCUGGGCCUGUUACACAUUGCACACUUAGUGAUCUCAUCUGUGGAGAUAAUUACACUGUUCAGGUGAUUGCUGUUGGAGAUGAAUGCUCCAGUUUGCCCAGUCAGGCAGAAAACUUCCGCACAGGUAUUUUUAUGCUUGUCUAUUUUUGUUGUUGUUGUUUUAGAUCAAAAUAAAAUCUAUAUAUUUUUUUUUUUCUUGUGAAUGUUAUUAUUA
rnacentral:lncRNA from 12 species